rnacentral:lncRNA from 1 species
AAAGAGGUAUGUGUCUGUUUCAGAGAAUCUGCUCUCUUCUACCUUGCUUUAUUUGGGUGGUGUGACCUUGGCUCUUCUGUAUAUUCAUCCUGCCUGUCACUUUUCAGAACCGAGGCAGCAAAGGACCAUAAGCAAUUCUCCAAUGGUGAAGAUCGACCCCAGUCAUGUAAAAACACGAGGCAACACAUUUCACUUUUGCUUAAGAAGGAUCUUGCAGAAAGUGAAGAAGAGCAGGAAUAGAGAAGACAUUUGAAUGACGACUGAUGUUCUCUUCUUUGGCCUGAGGUUUUAGAACACAUUCACUGCCUGAUCACUGUGGCCCAGAAGCCAUGGCCUCUGCUGAGAGAUAGGGACCCCAUGUUCCCUCUACACAUCUUCUUCCCCAAAGCCUCUCUGAGGCUCCUAUGUUCAAAGAAACAGUCCUCUGGCAAUGGCCUGGUCCUUUCUGCCAUACCAAAGAAAGUUGUUUUUUGUUUUGAGCAAGAGAUCACUUCUGAUUUUCCUACCUUUGACAUGGACCAGACUAAUUGACAAAUUCUAGAAGGACAGACACUUCCAAACGUCUCUUGACAUACUGGCUUCACAAAGGUUAGGAAAGCUGUUAUGGGGAGGACGGAGCCUUUCUCCUCUUCCUGAGAACGUUUGAAGAAGAAAGGGGCUACUGAGAAGUCUGGUAGAUUCAGCAGCUAGUAAAUAUCGUGUCUAAAUGGGCAUCUUUUAUUAAACUCUGAGGCAGGGUUGGUGUGUUAGGCCAUUCUUUCUUGCUAUAAAGAAAUAUCUGAGACUGGGUAACUUAUAAAGAACAGAGGUUUAAUUGGCUCAUGGUUCUGCAGGCUGCACAGAAAGCAUAAUGACAUCUUCUUCUGGCUAGGCCUCUGGAAGCUUCCAAUGAUGGUGGAAGGCGAAGAGGGAACUUGCGCAUCACAUGGCAAAAGCAGGAGCAAGAGAGAGGCGAGGAGGUGCCGCACACUUUUAAAAGACCAGAUCUCAUGAAAACUCACUAUUGUGAGGACAGCACCAAGAGGAUCGUGCUAAAUUAUUCAAGAGAAAUCCUCCCCCAUGAUCCAGUCACCUCCCACCAGGCCCCACCUCCAACAUUGGGGAUUACAUUUCAACAUGAGAUUUGGAUGGAAACACAUUCAAGCUUUAUCAGGUAGAAGAACACAUCCCUGAUUAAACGUUACAUCCUGCGAAGACAGACUGUGAAGGCCAGGCCACAAUAGCUGGGGAGACAAUGCAUUUUUUGUUCAGAGCAGCCACCAACAGUGAUGACAAGAGCCAUCAAUGGGCCAAGGUCAAAGAUCAGCAGUCCCUCUGUCACUUCAUUCUUCUUCUGGCUCCCAAUAGAGUCCAUAGGAACUCAAUCUCAGUUCUGAAAUCUAAUCAAAGCUCAUCCACUCAGACCCAAGCCAAGGACACCAAAGAACAAAUUCAUAAGGCAAACAAAGUCUUCACUCAGCCUUCUGCAUUUAGUGAUUGUGGAAAUGUGGUGCAACUGCCAGCUAGAUGAGAGACUUUGGAGGAAAUGGGUGAUUUAAGCCUUGGGAGUGAGGAUUAGCAAGAGAGAUUGAUGAAGAUUCUGGACACAUUUGGGAAGCACCAGAGUGAGAGCGUGCCAUGACUCUCCAGGUGGGCAUCUGAGGAAGCUUAAAAUGAUGAGCCAAAUUAAAAAUAGGAAAUGAGAGCACAGAGGCUGUUUUUGACAAAGUUCCUUACUUCUCUCUGCCUCAUGGAAAACAGGAACAUCAGCCCUUCCUAGACCCGCCCCCCCCAGGCAUGUGUGCGACAUUUGUCCUGGAUGCAGCUAAAAUCCAUCCUUUAUGAUACAGUUUAUUCCUUGAUGCCAUUGUCUGCUAGGAGAUUUCCCGGAUUCUGAAAGUGUGCAAGCAAUACUUUUCAAUUACUGCACAUACACCCUGACACACCAUGUGGCCUUCACCAAUUUGCUGCACAAUCUAUCUUAACAGUAACCACAAAGCAUGCUUCUUGAUAGUAUGGACAAAAUCAUUUCUCUCUUUUGUUGCUUAGGAAUUCUGUUGUAGGCUCAACUUGCUAAACUAGUUGUGCAGAUCAACACAUGAGAGACAGGAGCCUCUCCACUAAAUGAGGGUGGGAAUGAAAGUGAGUAAUGUCUUUGGGGCCCUUGGAAUAGGCCUUUGCUGGUGGAAACCCUGCUCAACAAAGAGAAGAAAGUAUCCAGCACAGGGCUAGGCUUGCAUCAGCAAAGGGAAACCCAGCAACCACAUCAGUGUAAAUGAUUCUGCUAUUCUACCUGGCACCCACUCUUCUUAAUGUGGUAACUUAAUUUGUCUUGGAGAAUAAUUAUGUUUUGAGUGCUAACUAUUGCUAAGCAUUAUGCUCAACACUUUAAAUAAAUGACUUCACUUAAUCCCUACAAUAAUCUUACAAAGCUGAUACGAUCUUGAUUUUGCAGGUGAGAGAAUUGACAUUUGGGCUUAAGAAAUUUUGUUAAAAGCUGGAAUUCAAACACAGGUCUGUGUGAGUUCAAAACCCAUGCCUUCAACCAUAUCAUCAUCAACCUUAGUUUCUAGAAAUACAAAAUCUGCACUCUUUCCUCUGCUGCAGCCUGAGGUAAUUUCUUAGCAGCUAAGGCUGUCACAAAGAACCUCUGCAGGACUGUGGCAGUGGAUUUGGUCACUUUUUAUAGCUCUUGGGAUUCAUUAUGAUAUAUAAUUUUCUUAUUAAAUUUCUAUAAACCUAUAUUGCUUCAAGAUAAAGUUGUUUUCCCCUGUUCUGACCCAUCUUAUGUAUCAUUGCCAGAGGAGUCUCAUAAAGUAUAGCUCAUCUUGUCACUUCUCUGCUCAGAAACCUCCCAAAGCUCCUGGUUGUCCCUGGGGCCACAGUUACUCUUGGAUAUGCAAAGCAGGCUGCACCCUGCCUUUCCAGGAUGACUUUCUAUUCUCUGGUUUUCAACCCUGGGGAUUAAACCAGGCUUUGUGAAUUUCUAGUGCAACCAGGAUUUUAGACUAGAGCUCUGUUCUAAGCACAGUGUGGGUCACUGCAGAAUCUCACUUCAAGAAGGGUCCUGUGGUUUCAUAAAGAUUGGAAAGCACUUCUCUAACUCGACCAUAUUACAAUUCAUUCGACAAUCCCCUGCCUACACCUCUGCUUAAAUUCAUCCUUCACGUAAAUUGAUCUUCCUUACAACACAGUCUUCUGAUAUCUCAUCCAUCCUUCAAGGCCUGGUUGGAACGCUACUGUCUCCAUGAAGCCUUCCUCAGUAACCCAGACAGAAAUCCUUUCCCUCUGCUUUAUGUACUUCCACAGCUCUUUUCUUAAUAUUACUCCUGUAGGACUUGCCACACUAAACCUUGUAGCAUGGAUAUUUGUGCCCAUCUCAUCUCAUCUGACCCACUUGACUUCAGUGUCGUGUCCUGGGGUUGAGCAGGCAGAGAUCAUAUGUCUUCAUUAUGUCUGUGUGUUACCCUAGCAUCUAACACUAUGUCUUGAUCAUGCCAGGAAUUUAAUAAAUAUGCAUUGAUAUAAACUGAAUUAAUAUUGAUUAUUGGGCAUCAUUUCAAAAAAUGGCUUUGGUAAGUUGUCUGCUUGGUGAACACCAUCUUU